CCUCACUUGUGGGGGGAUUAGUGGCGAACGGGUGAGUAACACGUGAGUAACCUGCCCUUAACUCUGGGAUAAGCCUGGGAAACUGGGUCUAAUACCGGAUAUGACUCCUCAUCGCAUGGUGGGGGGUGGAAAGCUUUUUGUGGUUUUGGAUGGACUCGCGGCCUAUCAGCUUGUUGGUGAGGUAAUGGCUCACCAAGGCGACGACGGGUAGCCGGCCUGAUAGGGUGACCGGCCACACUGGGACUGAGACACGGCCCAGACUCCUACGGGAGGCAGCAGUGGGGAAUAUUGCACAAUGGGCGCAAGCCUGAUGCAGCGACGCCGCGUGAGGGAUGACGGCCUUCGGGUUGUAAACCUCUUUCAGUAGGGAAGAAGCGAAAGUGACGGUACCUGCAGAAGAAGCGCCGGCUAACUACGUGCCAGCAGCCGCGGUAAUACGUAGGGCGCAAGCGUUAUCCGGAAUUAUUGGGCGUAAAGAGCUCGUAGGCGGUUUGUCGCGUCUGCCGUGAAAGUCCGGGGCUCAACUCCGGAUCUGCGGUGGGUACGGGCAGACUAGAGUGAUGUAGGGGAGACUGGAAUUCCUGGUGUAGCGGUGAAAUGCGCAGAUAUCAGGAGGAACACCGAUGGCGAAGGCAGGUCUCUGGGCAUUAACUGACGCUGAGGAGCGAAAGCAUGGGGAGCGAACAGGAUUAGAUACCCUGGUAGUCCAUGCCGUAAACGUUGGGCACUAGGUGUGGGGGACAUUCCACGUUUUCCGCGCCGUAGCUAACGCAUUAAGUGCCCCGCCUGGGGAGUACGGC
rnacentral:rRNA from 1 species